UGAGGACAUUGGACGGCCGCAGGCGCGCGGCAAUGCGCGCGUGAGGAAAGUCCGAGCUCCAUAGGGCAGGGUGCCGGGUAACUCCCGGUGGAGGCGACUCCAAGGAAAGUGCAACAGAGAUAUACCGCCGAUCCUCGGAUCGGUAAGGGUGGAAAGGUGAGGUAAGAGCUCACCAGCGGCAUGGCGACUUGUCCGCUCUGUAAACCCCACCUGGUGCAAGAUUGAUAGGGACGCAACAUGUGGCUGCCCGUCACGCGUCCGGGUAAUCGCUUGAGCCCGCUGGCAACCGCGGGCCUAGAUAGAUGGUCGUCCACGACAGAACUCGGCUUAUAGAUGUCACUCACAAC
rnacentral:RNase_P_RNA from 1 species